AUUGAACGCUGGCGGCAUGCUUUACACAUGCAAGUCGAACGGUAACAGGCCUUCGGGUGCUGACGAGUGGCGAACGGGUGAGUAAUGCAUCGGAACGUGCCCAAUCGUGGGGGAUAACGUAGCGAAAGUUACGCUAAUACCGUCAUAAGCCCUGAGGGGGGAAAGUGGGGGACCGCAAGGCCUCACGGCGAAUGGAGCGGCCGAUGUCAGAUUAGGCUAGUUGGUAGGGUAAAGGCCUACCAAGGCGACGAUCUGUAGCUGGUCUGAGAGGAUGGCCAGCCACACUGGAACUGAGACACGGUCCAGACUCCUACGGGAGGC
rnacentral:rRNA from 1 species